CCUACGGGAGGCAGCAGUGGGGAAUAUUGCGCAAUGGGCGCAAGCCUGACCCAGCAACGCCGCGUGAAGGAAGAAGGCUUUCGGGUUGUAAACUUCUGUUAUCAGGGACGAAGCACGUUACGGUACAUGAUGAAUACACCACGGCUAACUACAUGGCAGCAGCCGCGUGACUACGUAGGUGGCAAGCCUUAUCCGGAUUUACUGGGGGUAAAGGUCGGGUAGGCGGGAAAUCAAGUCAACUGUGAAAACCAUGGGCUCAACCUGUGGCCUGCAUUUGAACCUGUUUUUCUUGAGUACUGGAGAGGCAGACGGAAUUCCUAGUGUAGCGGUGAAAUGCGUAGAUAUGAGGAGGAACACCAGUGGCGAAGGCGGUCAGCUGGACAGCAACUGACGCUGAGGCGCGAAAGCGUGGGGAGCAAACAGGAUUAGAUACCCCAGUAGUC
rnacentral:rRNA from 1 species